rnacentral:rRNA from 1 species
GAUGAACGCUAGCGAUAGGCCUAACACAUGCAAGUCGAGGGGCAUCAAGAUGUAGCAAUACAUUGUCGGCGACCGGCGCACGGGCGAGUAACACGUAUGCAACCUACCUACUACAGGGGAAUAACCCGGAGAAAUUCGGACUAAUACCGCAUAACACAGCGAUGCCGCAUGGCAAUAUUUGUUAAAGAUUUAUCGGUAGUAGAUGGGCAUGCGUUCCAUUAGCCAGUUGGUGAGGUAACGGCUCACCAAAGCAACGAUGGAUAGGGGAACUGAGAGGUUUAUCCCCCACACUGGAACUGAGACACGGACCAGACUCCUACGGGAGGCAGCAGUGAGGAAUAUUGGUCAAUGGACGAGAGUCUGAACCAGCCAAAUCGCGUGAAGGAAGACUGCCUUAUGGGUUGUAAACUUCUUUUAUAAGGGAAUAAAAAGAGUCACGUGUGAUUUAUUGCAUGUACCUUAUGAAUAAGCAUCGGCUAACUCCGUGCCAGCCGCCGCCGUAA